GGAAUAAUAUUUGCCAGUUUUGAAUUUACAAUCUUCAUUUCGUCGCCGGUGUUCGGUUCUCUGAUCUCAACCAUUGGUGCAAAGUUGAUGCACGUUGCCGGUCUGUUCGUAGCUGGUUUCUGCACAAUUCUGUUUGGUCUUAAAGAGGAAACCCGCAUCAUGCUUUCCAUAAGUAGCAAGGAAUCCUUCAUAUACACCAUCCUGCAGACAGUACCACGGAAUUUGAUAUGCAAGUUGUGUUGCACUGGCAGGAACGAGAAAUAGCUCAGUGGGCCUACCGAAAAGGAUCGAUCCCAGACCGAUCAUGCAUCAGACCAGCGCUUUACCACUGGAAACACUGUCAUCGUGCUAUGUGUUGCAACGCGGGUUAUAAAGGCAUUAGGUUGCUCAGCGUUCUUCACCUGGAGUCGAGCAAUCGCUGGAACAACCUUCCCAGACAACAUUGCUACUAUGUAUGUAAGUAUUAAAGCGACAAAUCCAGGUUUUUAAUACGCUACAGCAGAUUGUUUUUACUAUAAAAUCCGUUUUUGGUAAUUGAUAUCAGACAUUACUAACACUUGAUUGUUUAGAUUAUCUAUUUUCGUACAUUCAAAUAUCUGUGGUCAUCCUGGUGUUUCUAAUACAUGCAUUUUUUCUAAUCCCUAAAAAUGCACGAACCUCAGUGUGACGGAACAUGCUGUUAUUUUUUUUCGCCUGUGGCGAUGUUAAUUGUUUCAGAGGGCCGAGUGCGGCGUGGUUACGUAAUACCCCUGCACGAUG